rnacentral:lncRNA from 1 species
GAUCUACAAAUACACUAGUACUCAGCAUAAUGACUUCAUAGGCUCCUUCAGCUUUUAACCUGCUAAUCCGAUGGGCAAAGUGAGUUGUGAAAAAAAAUAAAAAUUGAUCCAAGCCCAAACAAUGAAGCCUCUAAUGUAAAUCCAAGAUCAAAUGGAGUACUUAAUGCACCUAAAACGUAUUAUCGAUGGCAUUGAAGAACAAUAGGUUGGUGGUGCCGUUCAUGAACUUAGGCCAUCCAUAAGGGAUGGGCCCAACGUAGACAUUAUUCCAAGGCAAUGCACCAAGCUUUACAAAUCAAAAGGAGAUCAUCAGGUCAGAGGACUACAAUACACAUGAUUACACCUGCACAGAAGUAGGAAUUAGGUGAGCCCAUCGCAUUCCCCUAGAAUUCUCAAACCCCAGGGAUGGUCGCACUCCUCGCACCCCUUUAUUGGCUUAGGGCAGUCAUCUCUGCUUCCAUCAAGGAGAGCAUGUGGUGAACUGCAGCGGCGAUGUCGUCAACCGUGGUCAGAUUGCAACCCUCCUCAACCUGCAGUCAUCACCACAUAAUUAUAAAUUACUUAUGUAAUAAUCUAUUUCAUAAAAACAAAUGUAUACAUGUACAUAUGCAGGCAUUGAAAAUUAAACUAGUUACCCUAUCUUAGCAAGGCAUCUGCCUUGUGUCAUUAGCGAACAAUUACCAUCAAAAAUAUUUUCGUUUAGAUAAAUAAAGAAUCGGAGCAUAAUUUUUCCCUUUGAUUUUUGUAACAGAGAGAUAAUGCAUGUGUAUCUAGGGCUGUCAAUAGGCCAAGCAAGCCCAAAUGGUUGAAGACCGGAGCCGACAAAGAAACGGGCUCAGGCCAAAAUUUCAGGCCCUAUGGCACCACAAAUCAGAAGGCCCAAUAAGGCCCGGUCCGGCCUUAGGCCUGGUUCGGCCUGGGCCUGAGAUCCCAAACGCCAGGGCCUGAGCCGGAAUGCUUGGUUCUAGUGUAUGAACAAUCAAAAAUGGUGGGUGACAUGUACUGCAUUUUUUUCUUUUUUUUGUUUCUAGGUGCUAAGAAGGUUUAUAUAUAUCCAUAGUCCCAUGCUUAUUAAGUUACAUUGUAUGGAAAAGUGAAGAUGUUCCGACGACCAUAAACUUAUCCCGAGAACGAUUCAGAAAGAAAUAAAAUGGAUAUCUCCUAACAAUGUGGAGCCAGUCAUGCAGGGGGUAUGAGUUUAAUUUAGUGCGGAUGUAUAUCAAAUCAAAGACAAAAUAACUAUGGCACUAAUUAUUGCUAAUAAUAAAGAUUAAAGGAUAAGUAAUUUUCAAUAAAGAUUUUUUUAGGAUUUGACGCCUCGAGAUUCAGCCCAUAUUGAGCCCACAGCGAGGUUCGCGGCGAAAAACAAAGUCCAACGAGACCAAGA